CUCUUCUAUAGAGGGACAACGUAAUUGCUCUAUUUUUCUUCUCUUCCUUAUACUUCUCAUGGCUGAACAUAGUCUCUUGAAAAGGAGCUAAGUCAUAUCUCUUAAACUAAACACUUUUAGGUGAAAGCUUCUACAUGAAACUUGUAGUUUAGGAGCUAAGGAAUCCAACCAUGUAAUUAAUUUCUCAAGAGGGGCUGUAUGAGUGGAGUUUAUACUCUCCAAAGGCAUGGAUGUAUGGCUGACUUGGUGUAAAGAUAUGAUGGUUUUAAGGGUUUAAAGUGUGGAGAUGAACCUAGUGUUCUCCUAGAAGCUAAACAAGAGUGAGUUAAGGAGCAAAAUAGUGGGGAAUCAAGUUGUCUUUGAGUAAAGCUUCACAGGGGAAGGUGAAACUUCAACAUCCCAUUGUUCAUUUUCAUAGUUAGAAGUCCUUGGAGAAGUUUGUGCACUAUCACUGCGACCAGCUGUGUGUCUAUGCAGAAGGUGAACUGGAGACAUGCCAUAUGUCGGAGUUGCUGGCCUACUAGAGAAUGGUAAAACCACAAGAAUUGGUGCUAAAGAAAUCAUGACAAAGAAGUAGCGCCUCAAUAUGGACCAAGGGAAGCCAAAAUCUUACAAGAAUUAGGCAAAAGCACGCUCACGCGCACAACAGGACGCUCGAGCGCUUGAAAGCAGGAAAAACAGCCAAACUGGGCACAACAGGACGCUCAAGCGCACAUAUGCACGCUCAAGCGCCCAAGAAUACAAGAAUUCAGCCUCGAGGAGCGCGCUCGAGCGCCCAGUAGCACGCUCGAGCGCGCUCAGGCAGGCAGAAAUAACUAAUUGAGGCAUAUUGGCACGCUCAAGUGGCCAACAACACGCUUGAGCACCCAAGCACGUUCCAGACAGCAAAGAUUUGACAAGAUUUAAUGAAGAUUUGCCAAAUUGUGAUAUCCGAAACUAAAACGGAAACAUAUCGAACCUGAUUUAAAGAAAGUCAUGGAAGAUUGAAGCAGGAUAUAAAAAAUAUUCAAAGCUCAAAUCUAUCAACCAAUCUACAAGAUCUUAAAUGCAAAGAGGAAACAAUUGUAGAAUCAAGUACAAAUCUGAUACAGAUUCGUUGGGAGAUACAAUGAAGGAUGUGGGUUUGAAGAUUAUAAAUAAGGAGCUUGAGGUCAAGACCAAGACACCCAUUCACAUAUUCAUUCAGAAAUCAAGUCACAAGUCCAGAGAAGAAGGAAUCUUGUUGCGGAGCGCUAGAACACUGAGGAACAAAGUCAACAUCACACCAAUGGAGACUUGGGGUUCUCUUUUCUUUACUAUUGUUUUUCAAUUCAGUAUGCUAGGCUAGAUUUUUAUGUAGUUAAUGGUAGAUGAAACCCAAUUGAAUCUUUAUGUUUAUGAAU